rnacentral:rRNA from 1 species
AACCCCCGCCGUAGUUGCCCAGCGGUUCGGCCGGGCACUCUAACGGGACUGCCCGCGAAAGCGGGAGGAAGAGGGGACGACGUCUGGUCAGCAUGGCCCUUACGGCCUGGGCGACACACGUGCUACAAUGCCCACUACAAAGCGAGGCCACCCGGCAACGGGAGCUAAUCGCAAAAAGGUGGGCCCAGUUCGGAUUGGGGUCUGCAACCCGACCCCAUGAAGCCGGAAUCGCUAGUAAUCGCGGAUCAGCCAUGCCGCGGUGAAUACGUUCCCGGGCCUU